GGGGUUGUAGCUCAGAGGUAGAGCACUUGCCUAGUACGUGUGAGGCUCUAGGUUCAAUCCUCAGCACCA
rnacentral:tRNA from 1 species